rnacentral:lncRNA from 1 species
AGAGCAUUUCCCCGCUUUUCUCCGAGCUGACACCAGCUUGUAUAUAGGGACACUCGGUGGAUUACAGCUGGUGACAGUUUACUGCUGACUGGCCACAGGAAAAAUAAUCGGAAUCAAUUACGCAUUGUCCCUGGCCAGGGCCUCUGUCUUGGCUGUUGUCCUCUAUCAAUCAGGUGAACCCCAGGGCAGAACUGGGCACCCUGAGAUGCAAAAGCGCUUGUCCUGCAGUGACGGAGCUUAGCGACUAAAGAUCUCCAAAGGGAACAAUGUCAGAGCUACUUGUUCUUGACACAAGACACGGAGGAAGCAGUUGUGUUUGCUUAACUGGAGGCCUGUCACCCGCUGCUUGGCUAACUGCAGUGUACGGAUAUGUGGGAAAGAUUCAGACCCAAUGAAAAGAGAAAGGCAAACGUGAGUCUGCCUACACACCACCAAAGAGUUCACAGGUUCUGACCCGAGGAGACACCGGUAAUGUAUGUGGGCCUUGCCUAAACAGACCGCCAGGCAUCUGAACUGUGGCCGAGUGGAAAUGCCUGUGUAAAGUCGACUCUACUUCCUUAGUUAGGCCCAAGGAGGAAAUCCCCAAAAUAAUUUGACUUUCACUUAAACCAUAUUGGAAACAGGACCUGAAGAGUGAAAGAAAACCUUUGACAUUCGCCAUUGCUUCCUUUCAGUGGACUAGUACAUUGUCAUAAGAAUUGAAGCAGGAUACUGGAAUAAGAACCGUCAUGUAAAUAGAUUGCACCUUUGGAGGUUGCAGGAUAUGCUUGAAGCUAUGGCACAUGCUACCACGUGCCACCGAAGAGAGGAUGAGCAGAGGGCCCUGCAGCACCACUGCAAAUGUGCAAUGCCUCUGGGUUUCAUGGUUUUUGUUUGUUUUGUUUUUCGUUUUUAAAGAAUUUAUAAGAAUUUUUGCAUUUC